rnacentral:misc_RNA from 1 species
AAGUCGUAACAAGGUUUCCGUAGGUGAACCUGCGGAAGGAUCAUUAACACGUAUCCAACGUUAAACCCCCCUGUGAACCUUCAUUGUGCUCCCCCAUUCCGUUAGGACGCGGCAAUCCCUGGUAAAUCAUCGCCGAACAGUUUUGAUUCAGGGACCUCUGCAUGGAGUGGGCUUGCAGCGCGAGGCAAGUGGCCUGGCAUUCCUCUGCUUGUUGGUGUCUGAAAGUGUCACUAGCUCUGUAAGAAUGGCGCAGUAACGAUCGCUAGAGGCCGACACGGCCGGCGACCGGGUCGCUGGGCUCACGCCCCCCUAUCACCCGAUGGAUAUCUUGGUUCUC